AGCCUGAACGCUGGCGGCGUGGCUAAGACAUGCAAGUCGUACGGGUGUAGCAAUACACCAGUGGCGGACGGGUGAGUAAUGUAUCGCUAACGUGCCCCCCAGUCCGGGAUAGCCGAGGGAAACUUCGGGUAAUACCGGUUGACAUCACGAUCAGGCAUCUGAUUGUGCUCAAAGGGAAACCGCUGGAGGAGCGGGCGAUAUCGUAUCAGCUAGUUGGCGGGGUAACGGCCCACCAAGGCGACGACGCGUAGCCGGACUGAGAGGUUGGCCGGCCACAUUGGGACUGAGACACUGCCCAGACUCCUACGGGGGCUGCAGUAACGAAUCUUCCGCAAUGCACGCAAGUGUGACGGAGCGACGCCGCGUGUGGGACGAAGCCCCUCGGGGUGUAAAACCACUGUCAGGGGAUAGAAAGUUCUGAUCAUCCCAGAGGAAGGCACGGCUAACUCUGUGCCAGCAGCCG
rnacentral:rRNA from 1 species